UAGAUAGCAGCAGAGUGAAUGAUUAGAUAGCUUUCUUUAUCAUUCUGUCAAUAUCGCUCACCUUUUGUCUUUGGUAUUCGUGCCAUGCUCUCGCUAUUCAGCCCUUAAAAAGCUCACACUGAAUGCGUACCUGCCAUCAUAGAGCAAUUCUAGCGGGCGUGCUAUAGUAAGCGGAAGUGUAAAACUAAGCAAAUAAUUUGCAAAGCAGCCCGUUACCUGAUGGCACUGCGAACUUACGUCCUAGCUAAUAGGCUGCAAUUUAUGCACUGAUAAAGCCGACAACGUCAGAUAGCCGUAAACAAUUACACAGAUUGAAGCGCUUGUCGCAAACAACUCUCCCCUUUGCCGCAUAUUAAAAGGCGUAUAUCGAGGAAGUGCCGAAGCGAUUUCUUCGUAAGGACAGACCAAUACAUUAACAGGCAUGCUGUUCACGGGACUGUUUGUCGUCUUCGUCACUGGAAUGCCUACGCUGAGCGUAACAGCCCAGGCGCCGGCGCAAGACGAAAUCAAGUCCCUUCCAGGACUCGCUGUAAGGCCCAGUUUCAAGCAGUACUCGGGAUUCCUGAAUGCAGGCCCAAAUCGACGGCUGCAUUACUGGUUUGCAGCGAGCCAGACGUCGAAAGCGUCUAUCGAUCCGGUUGUCAUCUGGGUCAACGCAGGGCCCGAAUCUUGCAGUUCGAUGCUGACCCUGAUGAUGGAACACGGCCCGUUCCGGACAACGGACAACGGGCAGCACCUCAAGCCUAACGACUUUAGCUGGAACAAGGAAAGUCACCACAUGCUUC